rnacentral:rRNA from 1 species
AUUGAACGCUGGCGGCAGGCCUAACACAUGCAAGUCGAGCGAGUGGCGGACGGGUGAGUAAUGUCUGGGCAACUGCCUGAUGGAGGGGGAUAACUACUGGAAACGGUAGCUAAUACCGCAUACCAUCGGAUGUGCCCAGAUGGGAUUAGCUAGUAGGUGGGGUAAAGUCUCACCUAGGCGACGAUCCCUAGCUGGUCUGAGAGGAUGACCAGCCACACUGGAACUGAGACACGGUCCAGACUCCUACGGGAGGCAGCAGUGGGGAAUAUUGCACAAUGGGCGCAAGCCUGAUGCAGCCAUGCCGCGUGUAUGAAGAAGGCCUUAGGGUUGUAAAGUACUUUCAGCGGGGAGGCGUUACCCGCAGAAGAAGCACCGGCUAACUCUGUGCCAGCCGCCGCGGUAAUUC